CUGCCCACUCCUACGGGAGGCAGCAGUGGGGAAUAUUGCACAAUGGGCGCAAGCCUGAUGCAGCCAUGCCGCGUGUAUGAAGAAGGCCUUCGGGUUGUAAAGUACUUUCAGCAGUGAGGAAGGUGGGUAUGUUAAUAGCAUAUUCAUUUGACGUUAGCUGCAGAAGAAGCACCGGCUAACUCCGUGCCAGCAGCCGCGGUAAUACGGAGGGUGCGAGCGUUAAUCGGAAUUACUGGGCGUAAAGCGCAUGCAGGUGGUUUGUUAAGUCAGAUGUGAAAGCCCGGGGCUCAACCUCGGAAUUGCAUUUGAAACUGGCAAACUAGAGUACUGUAGAGGGGGUAGAAUUUCAGGUGUAGCGGUGAAAUGCGUAGAGAUCUGAAGGAAUACCGGUGGCGAAGGCGGCCCCCUGGACAGAUACUGACACUCAGAUGCGAAAGCGUGGGGAGCAAACAGGAUUAGAUACCCUGGUAG
rnacentral:rRNA from 1 species